GAUGAACGCUGGCGGCGUGCCUAAUACAUGCAAGUCGAGCGAACGGACGAGAAGCUUGCUUCUCUGAUGUUAGCGGCGGACGGGUGAGUAACACGUGGAUAACCUACCUAUAAGACUGGGAUAACUUCGGGAAACCGGAGCUAAUACCGGAUAAUAUUUUGAACCGCAUAGUUCAAAAGUGAAAGACGGUCUUGCUGUCACUUAUAGAUGGAUCCGCGCUGCAUUAGCUAGUUGGUAAGGUAACGGCUUACCAAGGCAACGAUGCAUAGCCGACCUGGACGGGUGAUCGGCGACACUGGAGCUGAGACACGGUCCAGACUCCUACGGGAGGCAGCAGUAGGGAAUCUUCCGCAAUGGGCGAAAGCCUGACGGAGCAACGCCGCGUGAGUGAUGAAGGUCUUCGGAUCGUAAAACUCUGUUAUUAGGGAAGAACAUAUGUGUAAGUGGAUGUGCACAUCUUGACGGUACCUAAUCAGAAAGCCACGGCUAACUACGUG
rnacentral:rRNA from 1 species